rnacentral:pre_miRNA from 1 species
UCACCUCCGCAGGCUGCCGGCCCCCAGGCUGGGCUGGGCGAGUGUCUCUUCCAAGGCUCACCCUCUAACACGACUAGGAGC